UUUUUUUUUUUUGCACUGUGGUAUUUAAAUGUGAGAAAACAACUGAAAGGAUAAUAAGUCAGGAAAGCUAAUUCUCCUUUUCCAGGCAAUGAAGAGAAACCACAUGGUAGGUGAAACAUCUUGCUUUAGAAAUCCUGGUGGACUCAUUGAUUUACAGAGAUCUAUCCAGUUCUCACAGUUAUUAAACCAGAGGGAUUAAGAUUUGGAGGACAUCACCAGCUGGUCUUAGUCACAGUGCAAAUGCAUCGCUCUCCUGGGUACCUAGACAGAUGUAGAGUCAAGUGGAAGUGCAGAUAAGCAUGUUCAAUACCACCACUGUGCUGAGAUAUGCAGACCUCCGUAUGGAAGGCAAAUGUCAUCAAUUUUUUCCCCAUUUUAAAGUUUCUUAUGAGGAAAGUUUAGCCCUACCUGUGGUUACAGAACAAAGGAAAAAUCUUUUCUAUGUGCAUUUUAUAAUAUAUCUCUUAUGUAAUCAUUUAUGAGACAUUAUAGCUGGAAUACAUAAAAUAUUUCAGUAUUUAUUUCUCCAUCAGAAUUGCUCAGGUUUUUCUUCACCUGUCAAAAUGAAUUGCCUCUACUGAGCAGUGUCUCAGUGUUCUGCAUGUCUCUGUUCUGUGAUUGCUUUAAGGCCACAGUAUAUCAGAUUCAGCUUCUUAAACUAAAAGGUGUAGGAAAUUCAGAGAGAAAAAUAUUACCAAAGUAACUUCAUUAAAGAGCCCUGUAUGGAAGAUCAAUGUCUUUUCUCAAAAUGCACUCAGAGAAAAUGUUGUGUUGAAAAACAAUAAAAAAUAUUACACUGAUGUUUCAGAGGUUGUAAAUGUGAUAUUCUGUUACCAGAAUUACUUUAGUGUCAUAUAUACUUGCCUAUAAUUGACUUUAUUUUGAAAUUUUGUCAUCUAUCUUCAUUUCUCUAUUUGUCUUUGUAACACAUCUUUUCAAACAGCACAUGGUCUGGUUUUCAUUCUCAGUAAAAUUCCCUGUCCUCCUGCAGUUAUCCUGAAUGUCAAAAUCAGGGCAUAACUUGCCCACCUUCAUGCUAAAGCAUGACUCCUCUUAUGGGGAGUUACAGCUCUUGUUUUUCAGACCUAUGGUUCUGAAGGUCUCACAAAAUCUUGGGAUUAUACAUUUUUCCCUCAACUGUGAAAUCUCUUCAUACCUGCAGCAUUUACACAGCAUGGAAUGAGUGUCCAGUAAUGAAUGACAAUGAAUGAAAAGACAGAACAAAUAUAUUUGGAGCAAGAGAGCCUUUCCACAAUGUGGGCAGGGUGAAUUUGGCAAAUCCAUAUAAACUGACUAGAGAGGAUGAUAGGUAUCACCCUCCAUCGCUUAGGGCAAAUGUAUUUCACAAACAUAGGCUUGGUGUCUUCAUCCAUCACCUUCAAAACAACACCCUAAUCCAUGGUCAUGGUAUCCUGGAUGUGGGUCGUGAGGUCAGGUAGAAGAAGUGAACUUCUCUGACUGGCCAGGUCAUUCUGCUCUCCUUUUCCCAGGGCAGGCAGGUUGACUUUUUUUUUUUCCAUCUGAAGGCCAUCAUGCAGUUCUCUGAAUAGGUAAGUCUGCUGCCUAUCCAGAAACUGACUAGUUCAGAACACUGAUUCUCAUCUUACCUAUUCAGCUAGAAGGAUAGAAACCCACUAAACUUUCACUCAUUUUCUGCUUCAUUUCUUGAUCUUCAGGAUCCUAGAAAUGGCUCCAGCAUCCAAAGGGCUGGGGCUCCUUCUCAUACAGCUGUAGUAACCAUGAGCCCUGGGAAUGCCUUGAGAAGUGACUUGGCUGCAGACAUCUUCUUCAUGGAAGGUGGUGUCUGUGGCACAGCUCAGCACAAAGGCUGCCUAAUGUCACAACUUAGCUCCCUCAAAAACAUGGCACAAUGCUAGUAGCUCUGCUCAGACAAUAGCCAGAUAACAUCUCAAAAGCAUUCUGGGAAAUGUUUUCCUAAUUGACUAUCUCAGAGUCCCUUUCCUCUCAAGCAAUUGAAAUCUUGCUUAGAAAAAGGGCACAUUUUAGAAUCUGACAUACACCUUAGUGUUGAGAGUAUUAAGGAUGUAGUGUUGUCUUUCAAGGACGCCAGUUAUGUCUGCAGCCUUCUACAGAGUCUUCAUUGUCUGUUGGAUAAAAGCUGAGACCCACACUGCUGCUGACAUUCAGACCAUCCUCACAUGAACAGUUGUUUACAGGUGUAUGUAACAGUUUGAAGCAUGCAUAUUUUCAGACAGUGACUGCUGCAUGGUCUGUAGCUAAGCUAUUUUGCAAUCCAGACAGAACAACAGUUAAAAUAGAUGAACUUGUGUCAAUAUUUCCCCAUUUUUAUCCAGGUUUCAUGGAGUGCCUUUGAAAGUCUGUCUGGGCAGUACUAGCUGUUAGCUCUCUAGGGAAUAUAUUUUGUUUGGUUUAAUUAUAAUAAUGCCUGAUAUAACAAUCUAUUUCUACCAGUUCUUCUCACAUCAAUAUUUAUUCAGUGCCAUAGUUUUGUGCUGUUGGCACAUCCUGAUUUAGCAUUAUUAUUCUCCUAUGGCUCUGUCUCUGUUAUUCAAACAACUUUACAAGCCUCCAGCAUUAAGCCUCACUCCAUUCUUUACAAAAGCGAGGACUUUUUUUCUUCCAUUUUGCAACAAGGGAGAUCAAAUGCAAAAUGAUUUUGACCUGAAGAUCAUCUGGACUCUGAAGCAAUGCUGGUGCUUGAACACGGGAUCUCACUGCAGUGCUUUCCCUAUGCAAUUAAGGCCUCCCACAGAUUAGACUAGCAAAGCAAGUUUGCAGUCCUUUCAUGUUAAGCUACCCAAGGCACUUUCACUUUGGUAACCCAAUGAAAUUUGUCUGGGGCUUGAUUUCAUUAAACACAACCAGCACGCAGUCCUGUUGUACCUUGCAAACAGUUGUGACUCUCUUCUGCAGCUGUUUCAGGGGAGACAAGGUUGUGUACCAGCAUGACUUGGGUUUUAGUUUCGUCAGAGUCCUUUGGGGUACAAGCUAUGUUUUGCAUCACAGUACUAGUUUUAUGUAGGCAAUGUGUACAACAGUGUAAUUUUACCUGGUACAGGAAUUGUGUACUUACAUCUUGGGUCAUAUUAUGAAGAGGAUUUAAUGCUCAUUUUCAUGAAAGACUAAUUUUAAGGAGGCUUUUGUCUAAACAGUUAAUAGAUUUUGACUUUAUCUUUUUGAUGUGUUCUGUACAAGAAAGGAUCUGUUGAAUGCAGUUCAUUUCUUUCAGCUGUAGCUAGACAUUCACAUAUAUCUUCUAAACAAUAUGAAGUAAAACCCAGUCAGCCAUGAAGAAAGGAUAUCUGUUUACAGUUUAGAAUCUGUGCUAAUACAUAUUUCAAACCCUCACUAUUGGAUUUAUGGAUAGUUCAUGUUUUUAUUUAAAUGUUUUAUUUGUUUCUUUACUAUAAUUCAAACCAGUUAGUUUCUAAUUUUCAGGCAAAGUUGAAACUGAUUCCGUUUAAACUGAAUGGGUUCAUGUGGCUAUUUCAGCCUCAAAGAUUUUGAACUAUGUUAAAUCCAUUUACAGUUUUAGUGAAAAAAUAGGGAAAUAAAUUAAAUUUUUCUUUAAAGUAAGUUGUUUAAGAUUAAGUAACUUAUUUUCAAAUGAAAAUGUACUUGUAAAUUAGAUGUGCCAUAAUAUUACAUCUCUUCUGAACAUGAUAUAUCCAUCUGUACAGUUAUCCCUGACUCACCAGAGCCAAAUAAUAAUUGAACACUCUUAAUACCACACAGUGGUACUAGUGCCACUUCUUGCAACCCAUACUUAUUUUUUGAAUAGGUCUGUAUCUACCUUCAUGAUCUGAAAGGACUGCAUACAGAUGUGUUGCAGCAGAUGCUUGUUUUAUGUAGAUGUGGUGAGAGUAUAUGCCUCCUUUCUUUCUGUUUCCAUCUGGAGUUGUUUUCUCAAUACUACUUUAUACAAGAUUAAUUCCCAUCCAUCUUAUUUUUGCUGUCCUAAUGCUUUCCAGUAAAAUGCUUUGGGAUGACUAAUACCCAGGUGAACCUGCAGACUCCAUCUAGUUUCUUUGGUAGUGAGUUUAUGAGGAAAAGUUUAUUUCUGCCCUACCCUCCUCCCUUGCUCUUCAUCUUCAGACCCUGGUGUCAGCACCAGUGCUGCAGCCUCAGUUUCCACUACGACAACGUAGAGCAGCAGAAGUGGGAACCACAGUCUGCAUAGAGCAGUGCAUCCCUUUCUCAGAGAAACCCAAUCUGCAUAAACUGCCGCACUCUGAAGUUUUUAAACUUUCACCUUACUUCACAGUUUUCAAGUUAAAAUAAACUGCUUGACUGCUUAAUUGCAGUUGGAUUGUAAAUCUUCUAACAGUCAUCUGUCUUCUACAGCUUGCACACACCAGGGCGCUAAGCACAAUCACAGAGCCUCACCAAAAUGAGGUAUGUUUGCUGCAAAUUCUAAAUAUGGUACGAUUUUUGUGCUGUAUCAUUUUGAUUUUGUGCUAUUAUCUUUUCAAUUAAGAUAUUGCUGUUUCUUUUGUUCGUGGAGACAAAAGGAAAGACAGCAAACGCAUAAUAGGCAGUCCCUGGUUUGCAGUAUUGGAAUAGAUUUCACAUUUCACAUUUCACUAUCUUGACUGUAUCAGUGCACUCAAGCUGGAUAAAUGAACUGAAGAGGCCUCUGACCCAAAAUAAUGGUAUAUAAAAUGCCUCCUUCAAUUAUAUUGAAUAUGAACCGACUAUAUUUUUAAGAGGUUGUAUCUCGUAUGUCUGUAUUCAGUCCUGUUUCUUCCCCCACCUCUCUGUGCUGCCUUUCCUUGUUAAUUCAUUUAAACAGGGUUUCUUUCUGCUCAAUUUGCAUUCAAAUGGCUGUCAGGGGAAUUUAUGGAAAUAAUAUAAGUGCUUUUAUCACUGUGUAUUUAGUCACAUGUGCUAAAUUUCAAAAGAUGAACUUGUCUAGCAUCUUAGCAAAAGAAAGAGUCAAGCACCAGUUUUAUGGCUAUAAAGCCAAGACCAGCAUCCCAAUUAAUGAUUUUUUUGGCUCAAUUGAUAUAUCUUUGUCUAUUGUGGCCCAUCUUAUCCAUUGUCUGGCAGAUAUUUUCUGCUUCUUCCUCCCCCCUUGCAAAGGAAGUAGCAAAAAGCCCUUCUCUAGAUCCAGCACACAGUGGAAUCUGUUUCUCUUUUUUCUUUAGCAGUGAAACACAGAUUUAUUGAGUUUUGGAAAUUUCACUUUCUGUGCUGUUUCUUUUCCUUAAUUGGUGUUAGAGCAAUAGGGGCACACCUCUUUCUCACAGUUAGCAGGAACUCCAUGGAGGCCACCAUGGAACACCUGUGUGUAUUGAUUCUCUGAAAGAUGAAUCUGCCCCCUCUUCUUCUCAAAGUUGCAAUUAGCAGAUUCCCCAACUCCCAGUGUAUUUGGUAACAUCUUCAGCAAAUUCACAGCCAAGACAAACUUAAUUUUGACCAAAUCUGACACCAAUGGCUUAUUAAAUUGAGCGUGUAUUUAUAGCUUAGGUAAUAUGAGAUACUUUUUGGUCUGACUCCUUUGAAAGCCAAGUAACUUUAUUUUUCUUUUUGGCAUUUGAUGACAAAUACUUCCUCCUCUGUUUUCCUGAAAAUUGAAGUAAUUAGUGCAGAAAGAGACUUCUAUAAAGCAUGUAAGUAGUUCAGGGAAAGAGUUGGAGGCAGGAAUGCGGUGGUUUUUCAGACAAAAUCAAGAAAUUUAUUUUUUAAGACUUUUUUUUUUUUUUAGAUCUACUGUUAAGCUGUCUGAGUGGCAAAUUAUCCAUUAUAUUUUCACAUAUUUUCUAAAAGAAAGGGAGAAAUUAUGCUGAAAUUAUUUUGUGUAAAUGUGAAUAUGUUACAUUUCAAGGCUUUAAAUCUAGUGAGUUUUAGAUGAUUUGUGUUACUCUGCCCUUCUUAUUUAGAAAGUAUAUAGCUAUUACAUAACACCAAAAAAAAGGCCCAAUUCAUUAUGUAAGUGCAAGUUACUGAUUUAAUUAUGAAAUUCCUGAAAUGGAGGAGGGUCAAAGGAGGAAUCACAGAAGUUUUCAAAUCUUCAGCUCAAGAAAAGUAAUGUCAUGUCCAAGUAUAUUUAGUGAAUGGUAAUGUAAACCACAGACAAAUAAAGAGAAGAGGAGAAACUAAAUUCUCUGGCUCAAGAUGGGAAUGUAUUGAAUUCUUAGAGCCAGAGAAAGAAUAAUUUAGAUGGGAGUAUUUCCCUGGAUUCUGCACUACUAAUAAAUCAUUGCUGGUCAUGCAAUUUUUAGUGGUCUCAAUAAUGAUUACAUUUUCCGUAUGCUGGUCACACUUAGAACUUACGUGUUGUCCUUUGUUCUGCUAUCUGUAUUACUAAUGCCCUGGAUGCUCUCAGGUGCUGAGGAAUUACAUUUUUUGUACACAACGAAA